UGACUAGCUAUAUAUGAACUAAAGAUAUAUUUCAUUUUCUCUACUAAUGUAUGUGGAUUCCAAUAGAUGGAUUGGUUGUAGCAUUUGCACUUUUAUUUGUAAAUCCUUUUGUUUAAUCUUAGAAAUAUGAAAAAUACAUAUUUUUCGUAGUUUAUUGCCUUGGCCCUCUUGUUUGAUUUUUCAAAUUAUAUCAAGAUCUAACUCAUACAAUUACUUAUUCCUUGAGAAAAUACAAUACGAGAAGGGGCUGAUUUGUAGAUGAGGAAUUAGCAUAUCGACUCGCUUUCAUCAUUUCCCGUUCGUAGUCCAAAAGAAACUCCUUCUUUUAGGAGGUGUUGCAACAGGAAGUAGGUAGUUCAUUCUUUAUAACUUGAAUAUUUUUUGACUUAAUAAAAAAAAUAAUAAAUAAAUAGGCAAAGCGAUACAAAAAGAACUCUGAUCGAUUUUCAAGUCUAUCUAUAAGAGGAGAUCAUGUCACCAU
rnacentral:lncRNA from 1 species